rnacentral:rRNA from 1 species
CGCAAUGGGCGAAAGCCUGACGGAGCAACGCCGCGUGAGUGAUGACGGCCUUCGGGUUGUAAAACUCUGUGAUCCGGGACGAAAAGGCAGAGUGCGAAGAACAAACUGCAUUGACGGUACCGGAAAAGCAAGCCACGGCUAACUACGUGCCAGCAGCCGCGGUAAUACGUAGGUGGCAAGCGUUGUCCGGAAUUAUUGGGCGUAAAGCGCGCGCAGGCGGCUUCCCAAGUCCCUCUUAAAAGUGCGGGGCUUAACCCCGUGAUGGGAAGGAAACUGGGAAGCUGGAGUAUCGGAGAGGAAAGUGGAAUUCCUAGUGUAGCGGUGAAAUGCGUAGAGAUUAGGAAGAACACCGGUGGCGAAGGCGACUUUCUGGACGAAAACUGACGCUGAGGCGCGAAAGCGUGGGGAGCAAACAGGAUUAGAUACCCUGGUAGUCCACGCCGUAAACGAUGGAUACUAGGUGUAGGAGGUAUCGACCCCUCCUGUGCCGGAGUUAACGCAAUAAGUAUCCCGCCUGGGAAGUACGAUCGCAAGAUUAAACUCAAAGGAAUUGACGGGGCCCGCACAAGCGGUGGAGUAUGUGGUUUAAUUCGACGCAACGCGAAGAACCU